GCCACUCAUUCCUUCGAACGCUUCUGUAUGGUACACACGUUUAAUUUCAUGUUGUUUCUUGUAUGGUUUAAAACCGACGAAUUAAAUUUUAUACGCGCGUGCUAUAAAUUUUUCAUUUUUGUCCUAUUUCUGUUUAAAAAAAUUCAAAUAUAAUUUGGAUUUUUGACAUUCAAUAUACGUUGUAAUGUUUGCAUACAUUAAAGUUUUGAAAAGUGGAAAAUUUUUGACUGUGGAACUAAAUCAAGUGAUUAGAUAUAAAGUAAACUGUCCAAACAAAGUAUUCAAAAUUAGGAUUAACGGCGAUAUUCAUAAUUGUUUAGUUGUUGCAACUCACGUUCGAAUUUGAAUUUAGAUUCGAAAGAAGAUCUUCAAAAAAUCAUUUCAAAGCAACGAGUCCGACUCACACCGGCAGCUCUUUUAUCCGAUCCGUCCGAAGACGAACAAACGAGGAAUAAAAAGAGUUUACCACAGCCCAAGGACGAUAAUACUUUAGCUAUUUUAAAUAGUCAAUUAUUAAUAAUCAAUAAGAUAUCUAUUCAUACUAUCUUAAACAAGGCGGAGUAAAAGAAGAAAGUAUACCUAAUGAAACAAAAAAGGUUGAUGGUUACAUUAGAAGUAAGAUUGGUGACUUACGUCGAGAAGCUCGAAAAUCUGACAAGAAAAGUAUGGAAGCGGCCAAAGUACCACCCAAAAAUACAAGAACAUUAGCAAGUUAUAAACCAUCAGUAAUAAAUGGUCAUAAUGACGAUACAGAGAUAUCAAGUACUGAGAAGAGUAGCAACGAUAGCUCUGAAAAUUCCGAAAAAGAAGAGGAUCAUGAAACUGAAAAUUUAGAAAAUGUUACAGACGAUGCUUCUAAAGAUAUAAGUGAAAAGAUUGAUGAAGAUCAAAGUUCUGAUGAUGACAAAAAUACAGAGUCUGCUAAAGAAGACAAUAAAGAUCAAGAUGAUAUUGUGAACGAAGAUGAGAAUCUCUAAAAAUAUAGAAAUAAAAAAUCGUAGUACUAAUUUAUAAUAAAAAAAAAAAUUCGUAUAAUUAAUGCGAAGCACUGAAAAAAAAAUUUUUAAUUAUUAAUCUUUAUUUGCACUCACUUUAUUGCACGUUCAUUUUCUUUUGCUGCACAUAUGACUAUUAUAUUAAAAUCAUUAAAAUUAAUUUUAUUUUAAGAAAGUUCAAUAAGAUGAAUAGCUCUCACAAACACUAUAAUUUUUGUUGAUAUAUGUCCUUGCUUUUAUGUACAAUAUAGUUUAAAAAUUCAUUAACAGAUAUUUACUAUUCCAAUAAAGGUAAAUAUUAAAUGAAAAUGUCAGGUAAUGCACAACAAUUGUAAUUUUCAAAACACUAAGCAUCAGUGUUCUGAAGUUGUUUUCUUUUUAAUAAUGUUAGUCCGAAUAUUGGCAUAAAUAUUUUUUGAAAAUUGCAUUAGUUGGUAACUAAAAUUUAAUAACAAAAAAAAAAUAAUAUCAAAAUACCAUAUA